CUCUCUCUCUCUCUCUCUCUCUCUCUCUCUCUCAUACACACACACACAGAUAAGCGGACGCGAAUUCGAGUUGGGCGCACGCGCUUUUCCUCCAUUAGGGAUUCCCUUUCUUCGCCGACCGUCCAGCUUCGAUCUCCCGUGGAGGAGGGCUACCUGUUGUUGCAUUCUCUGGAAUUGGAUCGGAGCUCCCCCGAGGGAUCCCAUCUUGUUAGGGUUCCGUGCUCGCGGCGAUGGCGGGCGCGCUGGUGGAACGUGCCACAAGCAGCAUGCUGAUUGGUCCCGACUGGGCCAUGAACGUCGAGAUCUGUGAUAUCCUCAAUCGCGACCCGGGGUAUGCGACUCUGCUCUGCCUUCUCCUUCCCUUCUAUUUUCACGUUUGUUUCCUGAGCAAUGGUGAUGCUGCCGCCGAUGCUUCUCAUUUUGUGAUUUACAGCUGAGGUGAUUGUUUCACGGGAUGUCUUUGUGCGAUCAUCGCGUCUGAUCGCUCAUACCUUCUUUUGUUGUUUAUGGAGGUUUUACCUCUCUUUUUUUUUUUAGGCAAUUGUUAAGCAUAAAUGGUCUUUCGUGUUGCAAUUAAUUAUACACGUUGACGAAUGUUGCGGAAUUCUUAUCCUAGAAGGCGAGGUGGGAGCUUUUGGUGAAGUAAUUUAACCUGUUUUUGGAUCAGGAAUAUUUUUGGAUGAAUUAAACCGUGUUAAGCUUUUCCUGGUAUCUAUCCAAUAAGAAAUCUUCGGAUUCAUUCAUAUAAUAUUGUAGUUAGCAAGAAUGAUUUCAUCAUUGCACGUAGGUCCACAUGUAAGUAAAAGUGAAGGCGAGAAAUUAAUUAAGCAAGCUAAAAACCUUUAGGCACAAAUCAUACAUUUCAAGGUAGUUCCUUCUUUGUUCGUUUCCUUCACUUGAUUGUGAAAAACUUGUCACAGGAUCAUGGAACAUGAAUCAAUAAUUUGCAUGCAAUCUGCAUCCCGUUGAUGAGAUAUAAUGUAAAAUGCAGGAUAUGAUCGUCUCAGAUUUUUUAAAAUUGUGAUAUUUAAAUAAUUCCUUUGCAAUAUUGUUCAUGGCGACAGAGAAUGAUAUGGAACUAUUCACACUGGAAAGAAAUGAAACCUUAUCUGGCCUUGUGAGAUUGAUCAAAGUAAGGUUCGCUGUACCAUACCGUACUGAUGUUUCGACCCGGGCUCGGUACGGUACGGUACCGGUGUACCGGGUAGUACAUCAGGGCGUACCGAGCGGUACUCCCUGAUGUACCGAAUAAUUCUAUACUUUUCAUAUUGUAACACUAUAGCAGAGCUAUAGUAUAAUACUGUAGCACUGUAGCGGUACCCGGCGGUCCGCGUACCGGUAACCUAUCGGACCGGUACAUACUGCCCGAUACGGGCGGUACGCUUCGAUAUGGCAGACCUUGGAUCAAACACACUUGGCAUGUGAUUCAUGCCUAUAUGUCUUAUUGUUUCAGAAGUUAACUUGGGGUUGUCGUAUCGGUAAAUGGCACUAUGAAAAUCAGAACUAUCAGAGGAACCUCGGUCUAAAGAAGAGGCUCAAAUAAUUGGGGUCAAUUAUCUAUGGGACUUUUACUUCCUUUGCAAUUAAGUUAUAUGGUCUCUUUCUUGUUAUAUUUUCUCCUAGGGUCUUCAUGCCAACUUCAUACUUGACCAUAUUUGUUAAUGCAAUGACAUUUGCAUUCUUAUAUGAUGGGCCACAUGCAACUUACAUGCAUUAGUAAGGUUUGUUUUUACAUUGAUUUAAUUUUUUGUUUGCUUUGGUUACCAGGCAAGCUAAAGAUGUUGUUAGAGCCCUCAAAAAACGUAUUGGGCAUAAAAGCCCGAAGGUUCAGCUUCUUGCACUUUCAGUAAGUGUAUCAAACAGUUUGGCUUCUGGCUGUAUGUUAUGGCUUUGUCUAGUUGUGUCUUAUUGGUUUGUUUUCAAUUCUUGAUGUGACAAUUUGUUUAGUGUAUUUUUGUUAAUCUACUGCACAGUGUAUCCUUACCUGAAUCUGUUUUUUUAUCAGUUCUCUUGUUUUCUAGUGCUUCUUUGUUAAGAAGGAUGAUGGAUUUUCAUUUACUUGAAGACAUCUUAGAUUGCAUUUGUUUCUAUUUUUUUGUCAAUGCUCCAUAUUUUCUGUUUAUGAAUUUCAUUUUAGUGGCAUUAUUCAACUUCCAUGUUAGAUCCUAGUGAUUUCUUUAAACUUGAUUAUUCUACUCUUGUCUUCUGUAAUGUGGCAAAGUGGGGCUUUUAACUUAUGAUCUUGAAAGCUAUAUUGCGACUUACAUGAAUGAAUUUUCUCAGGCUUUUUCCUUAUGAUUAUCUUCUUAGGCCUGAACAUUUUCUCAAAAACAAGAUGCGAUUUUUUUAAAGAAGAAAGGGACAUUAGAUUUGUGCUUGUUGGUCAUAUGUCAGUGUGCCAUUUUAUGAUUUGCUUCUUUGUAGUUCAGUUAAUAAACUAAAAGAUAAUAAAACAUUGGAUUUAUUUUGUUCUCUCUUCGAAUCUGGAGGUUUUUUUAUUUGCUCAUAUCUCAAAGCCUCUUGAUCUACAUCCUCUGUCACGAAAUAUUUUAAACAGAGUGCCAGUGUUGCUUUUGCUAAUAUUAGCAACAUUGAACUGAAUUAAAUGUGUAUCUUAUGCACUGAAUCACUUUGAGGCUUAAGGCUUAAUCUUUAGUUCAACUCUCAUAAUAAUAUUCAAACUCUCAGCCUAUUCUCAGAAAAUUUAUCUGUGCUUUUGUAGCAUCAUUUCAAUAGAGAUUACAGUUUAUUUGCCGCAUAUUAUGCAUUCUGUUGUGCUUUUAGAUUGAUUUUUAUUUAGGCUUAAUUUUUGAAAAAAUUUUGGAUGUUGGACAAUGUUUUUGAUGUCAUCAAACUGUUAAAGCAUACUUUGGUCGCUCUAUUCGAGACCCCAGAUCCUCUCUUUACAAGCUUAUUUGUUGCUUGCCAAAGUACCUCUUGUGGACCUGUUGCUCUAUGGUAAGAUCAAGGAACCAGUUGUUAGUUGAACUCUGGAGAUCUUUAUCUUUUUAGAUGAGAAAACACAUUUUGCAAACCGGUUGCAGUGAUUUUUUUUCGAGAAGAGAUUAGUUACAUGUUAUGCUAAGAGGUUGUUGCAGUUAUCUUCACUGUUAGAGUUGAAAUAAAUCUACCAAUUUGAAGAGGAAACUGAGAGAUGGUAGUUCUAAUUUCUACGUUUUGUUCGACAGGAUAUCUUUCUAUGGGUUGCAACUUACAGGGGAAGGUGCACUUCUUAGGCUUGGGCUUAAGUCUGUGUGAUUGAACCCAAAAUCUGACAUGAACAGAUCUCCUUUUAUUUUGGGCUUAAGUUCACUCUGAAUCUUUCAUUUUUGACUCUCUUGACUUUAUCCAAAAACUCAAGCCUCUGAUCCGAGGUUGGACCAAGCCAAAGUCCCUGACCUCUUUAAGAAAUACAGUUCCUUUUGUCAAUAGGCUAUUGGUAAUUUAAAACUUUUCAGCUUUUGGAGACGAAAUGUUAUUUCCAACAGCCUCGUUCUUGUUGGAAAGUUCAAGAUGACAAUAAGUUUUAUUUUUCAAGGUGAUGUCAACAAUAGUAGUCACUACUACCAUGGCUGCCUAUGCUCAUAUACCUUGCCAAUCCACUUUUGGCAUGGCACUAACACCAAAAAAUGCAUUGGUUAACACCAAGUUAGUUAUCCCAAUUGGAACCUGCUAUGCUAGAAGGUAGCUACGCUCACAAUGCCAAGUUGUACCAGAGGCGCCAACACAUACAAAGGUCAAUUUAUGGCUUGUGUGUUUUGGAAUAGAGGCAUGCCAAUUAGAGGCAUGUCAUGAUAUUUUUUUGGCUUGACACUACUAGAAGGAUAAUCAGUUUCCUCUAUUGCAUGUUGGAUUUAAUUUUCUAUAGAUUGUUAUCUUAUAUUAAUUGCAAUUAAUUUAUUCUCUGCAGCUAUUGGAAACAAUGAUAAAAAAUUGUGGGGAAAUAGUUCAUAUGCAUGUUGCUGAGAAAGAUAUGUUACACAAGAUGGUCAAGAUUGUAAAGAAGAAGGUUCUAGUUUUUUUCACUUGAAGAUGUUUUCUCAUUUACUAUCUUUUACUGGAUGCUGAACUAAGUUCAAAUUAUUUUCACACAGCAACCUGAUUCUCACGUUAAGGAAAAGAUACUUACAUUAAUGGAUACAUGGCAAGAAGCUUUUGGUGGUCCACAGGCAAGAUAUCCUCAAUACCAUGCAGCAUAUCAGGAACUGUUGGUAUGUGUUUGUGCAUUUUGUAUUUCUUCAACGGCCUUACAGUUUCAAUUGUUAUUUUUUCUGUAUGAUUUUUCAAUUGUUGGUACAUUUCAGAAAUAAAGUGCUAAUUGAACCAAUUAAUUUUUUGAUAAAAUUAUUGUCAAACUAUGAUUCCAUUGUUCUAUAUUCUCUGAUAUUAUUUCUAAUUUUCCUCCAUCAGAGAGCUGGAGCUGUAUUUCCUCAGAGAUCUGAGAGGUCUGCACCUGUAUUUACGCCACAAACACGGCCUCUGGAAUCUUAUCCUCCGUCAGUGCGAAGUCCUGAUUAUCAAAAUGAAGCACCUGAAUCUUCAAUAGCAUCUGAUUUUCCUGCUUUGAGGUGUUUCCCUAUUCUCAUCAGUUAUCUGCAAUGAACUUCAGCACACCUAAGCUUUGGUUCUGAUACAAAUUUUAUUUAAUUUUUCAGUCUCACAGAGAUUCAGAAUGCCAGUGGUCUCGUGGAUGUUCUUGCAGAGAUGUUGAAUGCCGUAGACCCUGGAAACAGGGAGGUAUGUUCUACUUUGAGACUUGUUAUCUUAAUACUUGUUAACAUGUCGUUGUCAAAUAUGAUCUUCUAACUUAAAGUUGGAUAUUAAAUUUGUGCUUAUGAAAAUGUGGAAUGUAAUAUAUAGACCUAAGUGAGUAAGAGGUCUUGGCUGAUAAUGAAUCUUUGUUGUCUCCAAGGUUUGUCAUACCGAAGCGUACCGCCCGUAUCAGGCGGUACAUACCGGUCCGACAGGUUACCGGUACGUGGACCGCCUGGUACCGCUACAGUGCUACAGUAUUAUACUGUAGCAUUGCUACAGUAUGAAAAAGUAUAAAAUUGUUCGGUACACCAGGGUGUACCGCUCGGUACGCCCUGAUGUACCGCCCGGUACACCGGUACCAUACCAUACCGAGCCCAGGUCGAAAUGCCGAUACGGUACAGCGAACCUUGGUUAUGGUCCUCUCCCUGAACUCAAUUUUGAGAACUACAUAUUCAUAGUUCAAUUUAUAAUUAAUAGCACUCUGAUUUUCUAUUAUGAUCCAUUUAUGAUCUGAUUUCUAUUACCAAGUUAGUAUAUCGUGUUAUUUAACAAUUGCUCAGCCAUUUUUUGGUUUCUAUAUGCAGGGGCUCAAAGAGGAAGUAAUUGUUGACCUUGUCAGUCAAUGUCGUACUUAUAAACAAAGAGUGGUGGAUCUUGUUAACACAACCUCGUAAGUCCUUUCAGCUGUUCUCCCCAUGUUUCAUAAAUCUUUCACAGGAAUGUGGGUGAAAUUUGGACUAAGUUAGUCUCCUUGUGCAAAAACCAUGAUCUGUAACCUUUAAUUUAUUUUUUAAUGUACAUAUCAUAUUUCAAAGAAUGAUUAAAGCUUAGCACAUUUCAUUCACUUGAAUUCAAGUGAUCGUUCUCUGAGUUCUCCCUCUACUUCUUUUAGCUUAACUGCUUCUGUCAUCUUUUAUGCUCUUCAAUCAGAUGUAAGAUGCAGUAGUUAACUUGCAUAUGCCACUUGACUGUGCUGAUCGCUUAUCAAUAUUGAAGCCAUUUACACUUUACCUUAUUCUGUUUGUGACAGAGAUGAGGAACUUCUUAGCCAAGGACUUGCUCUGAAUGAUAAUUUGCAGAAAGUACUAGCAAAGCAUGAUGCUAUUGCUGCAGGAAUUGCUGUUCAUGUUAAGAAAGAAAAAUUUCUUCAGGCACUUGUAGAUGUUGAUGAUUCUUCAACUAGCAAAGAGCAAGAUCAGAGGUAGGAAGCUUUUUCUUCAAGUAAUUUGAUAUUUACAAAUUAUGCAUCGAAGUUGCUACACUAUAAAAUUUAGAGGACUUCUGUAUCACUUCAACGAGAAAAACACAUCUUGAAGUUUAAAAAACAACAUUUCUUUUGAGUUCCUUCUUUCUUUGUGUGAAUGUGUACCAUAUUUAGCCAAUUUGAAGAUAAUCUCUUUGAAGUCAUUAUCCAAUGAGAUUUAAUUUGUCAAGGUUAACUGUUUAUACCUUAUGUGCUUCAUGAGUGGAGCUUUGAAGAACUUCAUCGAUAGCAUUAAGUAGUCUUUGGCUUUCAUCUAUAAUAUUUAGUGACGUUUCCUCUUCUUGAUCCGUUAAAAUUAUGUGAUUUUGACAUGAUGACGUAGGUUGUCAGCUACAAGCACAAGCUCAACAGACCAGCCCCCUCUUCAGCAACUAUUGCUGCCCGCACCACCUGUAUCUGAUGGUUCAGCAAAGUCUUCAACAAUAAUUCAUGCUAAUAUGGACCUUCUCAGUGGCGAGGAUUUUAAUAAACCUUCAAAGGAGAAUUUAUUAGCUCUUGUUCCUGUUGGUGAACGAAAUACCAAUUCUGCCUCUGAUCAGAACAUGUUAGCACUUGCAGACAUGUUUUAUCCAGACAAUGCUAACAGUAACAGCAGAGGUCCUGCAAAUGCUUUUGAUGCGGAUUCUACAUUUGCAACACAACAAACAUAUGCCACUGGAACGAACCCUCAGCUGCCCCAGCAGACACAACAGCUUGCUCGUUUUAAUGAUGGAGGCAGCCCAAGCUCAGGGGCACCUCAAUUUGGGCAGGCAAGCCAUGACACUGCAGUGCAUCUAAACCAGGCAAGCACUGCAUGGAAUGGUCAACUCGCUUCAACAUACAAUCCACAGCAGCAGGCACUCAGUUAUGGUAUGAUUAUUGACUUUUUCCUUGUCUUUUCAAUUCUUGGAAUCAUUAAGCUUUAUAGUUUUCUGGAUACCUAUUAUUCAUAGAAUGACACUGGAAUGGUUAAAGUGAAGUGCAUUUGCCUGUUCUGCAAUUCUCAUAAACCUGUUCCAUUGAAAAGAAAAUUGCACCAAGAUAAGACUCAUGUUUUAUGGACUAAGUGCUGAGUGCUAAAGAAUAUAUAUCAUAUUUAAAAUUAGUGCAAUAUAAAGAGGAUGUUCAGUCUGAUUAAUUACAUUAUACAGUAAAUAGAAUAAGAAAUGAUUGUAUUUUUAGUUGUGGUGGAUAGGCGAUACCCAAAGCAAGUCUUUAACUCAUAAAGAAUAAAUGUGAUUCAGAUUUGGAUGUUUAAGUAGAGUGGAAAACCAGGGUAAAUUUGCUCAUUAAUAUAUAAAAAAAACAUGAUGGUUGUUGGGCUAUCCUUAAUAGCAAAAAUAUUGCAUAAGCACUAACAAAUCCUCUUUGCAACCUCCAUAAUUCGAAAGCCCUAUCCUAAUCAUGAUUUCUAAUAUUUGGAAUCAUGAUUCUUAAUAUCUGGGAUCAUCUCAUAUAAGUUGAACCAUAUUCUAUAUCCUCACUUAAUCUGUGACAAUCAACAUAAACAUAGUUUAGAGUUUUUUAUUUCUAUUUAACUUUAAUUUAAAAGAAACAAUAAAAAGUUAGUUCAUAUAAAAGAUUGCUUACACUUGCGCCUUUUUUUACUAAUGGAAUAUAAGUGUUGCGUUUGAUGAAAGAUACACGUCAUACAUGCACAAACACAUAUAUGCAUGUCUAUAUAUGUAUAUAUGAUUAUAGUGGAAGAACUUCUAUGUAUGUAUGGCCCAAGUCAUUUUCAUAGAAAUCCAGACUGUUCAAUUGCAAUGGAUGGUUUGCAUCAACAGGUAAUGACUUUGUUUCACAAUACCCAUGUGCCCCUGGCAAGACUAUUAUGUCUGUGCACAUAUGGAUAUGUGUGUGUGUGUUUGUACGUGAACAUAUAAACAUUUAUUUGCACAUAGAGGCUACUUAAGGGUACUUAAGGGGGAUACUGAAACAUGGUAUUAAUGGUAGGAAAGGAUUCGUAUAGCAAACCAAACAGUUUGUACAGAAUAUGUAUGUCAUAGUUGUUUUCCAACACAAUUUGGGUUGAGAAAGUAUGUGAAAAGUUGUUUUAUGAUUCUGUUUAACUGUUACCAUAAACCAUUUCCUCGGAAACCUUUAUCUGCUAACAUGUCUUGACCUGAUACUUUUUAUGUUUUUUGUUCGAGUAAUUUAUUCUUUUGCAGGUCCAAAUGAUCAAGAUGGAGCUCUUCCCCCACCGCCUUGGGAGGCGGAAGCUGUCCAGCAUGAAUCGCCUGGUUUUCAGCCUCAACCACAUCAAACUGGGCAGCUUAGUGGUAUGCACUCCUUUCCAGCACAAACCAGCCAGCAUGCAGACAUGCCACCCCAUCCUAUGGCAGGUGGUCAGCUGGGAGGCAUGCAUUCACAACAUAUAUUGGGUGCCCAGCCUACAGGGCUGCAACCUCAACUAAUGCAGAGCAAUCAGUUUGUAGGCAUGCAUCCUCAAAUGCAGAACAGCCACAUGCCAUCUACAUUUCCACAGCAUAUGCUUGGAGGGCAUGUGGUAGGUGUGGGUCAACAGGCCAUGCAGGGGGUUCAGCUGACAGCCUAUGGAUACGGGCAACAACCGGGUGCCCAAUUCUACGAUCCAGCGAGACCUGCAUACCCUUAUUCUACUCCAAAUGAGCUUGCACAGAGAAUGUAUGGCCUUUCUAUGCAAGACAAUAGCACAUAUGCGAGUCAGUCCUCUUCCUAUCAGAUGCCUACCUCCUCCUCAUCCUAUCUGCAGCAACCGAACAAAGUGCCAAAGCCUGAGGAUAAGCUUUUUGGCGAUCUUGUUAACAUCGCCAAAACAAAGCAAAAUAAACCUACUGCUGGUUAAGUUUGAGAGCAAGUGAACUCGGUGCGAGGAACUAUUCUUCAUAUGUAUUUUUUGAUUUGUUAUUGUUGGUUUCUGUUGCUUCCCUUGUAUUUUCUCUUUCUGCCUCCUUGUUUGUAUUUUUCCCUUUGUUAUUGGUCAUGUACAUUUCUGUCUACUAGGGUGGCGGGUGGGAGGAAUAAUAUAGGUUCGUUAUAGAGUUUGGAGAUUUUGUGUUGCUUAUGUUCGAGUCUGAUGCUCACAACUACUGCUGAAGUCAUGUCUUUACGUAUUUUUUUUUGUAACACUGUAGCUUUAAUGCUGACUUUACUAAAAUAUAAAUAUACAAAAAAAACAUAAAUAUAUAAGAAAACCAGAGGAAAUUUGUUCAUAAAUAUAUAAAAUAAAAACAUGAUUAUUAUUGGGCUAUUUCAUGAUUCAGAAGCUCUAUACUAAUCAUGAGUCCUAAUAUUUGGAUUCUCGGUUCUUAAUAUUUGGGAUAAUCAACCUAAGCAUAUUUUAGAGUUUUUUCAUUUCUAUUUAACUUUAAUUCAAACGUAAUGAUAAAAAGUUAGUUCAUGUCCUUUCGUACAGAACACUUUUGUCUUUUUUUUACCACUGCAAUAUAAGCUCAUUUAAUAUAUUUUAUAUCUUAACUAUUUUAAAUAUUAAUUUAAUUAUAAUAUAUUUUAAAUAUUAAAUUAUUUUAAAUAUUAUUAUAAUAUUUUAAAUAUUAAUUAUAAUAUUGUUAAUAUUUAAUUAUAAUAUAUUUUAUAUUUUAAAUAUUAAUUUAAUUAUAAAAAAUAUAUUAAAUUUAUUUAAGAAAAAGUUAAGAGUUCGAAAUUUCACGAUAUAAAAGAAAAAGGGCCCAAAACCCCCUCGAGGCGUAGAACAAAGGCAACACUAACAAUACCGAACUGGAACAGCGGUGGAGUAGGUUAAUUAAACUAGUUAUUCACGAGUCCCACCGUCCCCGCCGCUUCCACUAUGCGACAAACCACUUUGCCGGCCUUUUACACGCGUCCGGCUGUGGACGCCGCAGGCGACCUCAAUGACGUCGCCUCUUCCACACGCCUCGCGGCGCGCGGCGGAAGGCGCAGGUCACGCUGUCGGUCGCCCACGUUGCCUUACGUUACGCACGCCUUUUAACGCAAGGAAAAUAACGGCCGUUACGACCCUUCUACCUCUCUCCCGCCUUUUCUAGAAGUGCGAAGAAUACUUGUAAACCAGAAACUUGAUGCUUAACGGAACGUUAUAAACUUUAUUAUAACGGUUUUGAGAGAGAGAGAGAGAGAGAGAAGAGGCAAAGAAUGCGGUCGAAUCGCGGUUCGAUUCUUUUCUUGCGUCUGCUGCUGCUGCUGUUGGUGGCCUGGUCGCCGGCCUCAUGGUGGCGGGGGUGGGCGUCAACUGGGGGACAUCCUCCUCUCCGCCGUUCGUGGUCGUGCCGGGGCUCCUCCAGGCCAACAGAGUCUCCCGGGUGAAGCUCCCCGACGCCGACCCUUCCGUGCUCGCCAGCCUCGCUGGCUCGGGCAUCGCCGUGGCUAUCGGCGUCCCCAACGAGAUGCUCCGGUCCCUCAGCUCCUCCAAGUCCGCCGCCGUCAGCUAGGUCCACGACAACGUCACCCGCUACGUCUCCAGCACUGGCGGCGGCAGUGUUCGAAUCGAGUAAGUCCUUUCUCUCUCUUCUUCUCCUUUUUGUUUGGGGUUUAUCAUUGAUUUUAGGGUUAAGAAAAGGAAACUUGGCGAUUGUAAUUGCACACUCGUUUCGAAAUGAAAUAAUGUUUAGGUAUUGUCUACUCGAUCCUUUUCUUCUCAAAGUUAGCAUUUUGCUUUUAGAACCCUAUCUCGGUUAAUGGGUUUAUGUUCAGAGUUCGUAUUAAGUUGUGGUAACUCUUAUGCUUGCGCAGAUCGAUUGAUUCUUUGUUGUCUGUGUUGCAUUAUGCUCUUUAAUUCUUUGUCGUGUUUGAUUGUUGAUUGUGAUUGUCCAUCCACUAUGUAGCUUCGCCAUUUGAACGAGACAUCAGUAAGAUAUGCGCCCAAAGUGAUCAUGCCACUGCAAAUUUUCCUUGUCCUCUUCGUGGCUGUUUGUCGUCAUACACGAUAAGUUUAUGCCUUGUAUUUGGUUGCAGUAUAUGUUUCUCUUGCACUAUGAUCUGCAUUGGCAUCUCUAUAAGGCUGCGCUGAGGACGAGAGUAGCUCAACUGAACUGGCAUUUACUGAUAUAAGACACACUACCUUCUUAACGAAAAACAACUUUGAAAUGCCACUAGGAAACUGAUAGGAAUUCAAGCAUUUCCCUGUCUUAUAAACUUCAAGGUAUUUAGAUGCGUAUCUUGUGCAACUGGGUGCCACUUGAAAGUUGAAACAGCGUCGAACUAAGAUCUUCAGAUUUUGAAAAUCUUAGGCAUUAUUUGUUAUGAUUAUUCCAUGCCCCUUGUUGUCCCUGUACAUAUGCAUGUGUCAUCAUCUGGGGCAUAUCUUGAGGUACUAAAGCUUGAAAGAAGAUGAGAAACAUGGCAAAAGGGAUAGAGCUUGAUUUAAGUCUGUUUGGAAGCUUUAAUAGUAGGAGUGCCGUUAGUCUUGGAUGACCUUCUACAUCAAGAACUCAAGAGUGGCCUUGGAUGCCUUUAUAAAUUGCAAUGAUAGUAGUGAUAAGUUGCAUUCGGAUUCACUUCUCCUUCAAGUAUAUGAGCUACCUAAGGUGCAUAUGAAGAAUGAUUAGUUUUCGUGGAAGAAUGUGUUUUGGGUACUUUAGGCAAGUAGUGAGAAUCAUUUGCUGUUGUCUUCCACGUAUAAAAAAUUCUGCAGUUCGAGUAAAGCUAAAUGAUAUCAUGCGCUAUUAGAUGCAGCAACUCUUCAAGGGAAACCUGUUUUGGCACACUGUCACAUGCUACCAAAUAAUUGCUGGAUUUCUUGGUCACAACAUCUGGCAACUUUGAUAAUAUCUUUGAUGGAAAGCUGUUUGUGUCCUUUCCCCUCCCUACUAUGAUUGGACGCUAGCAGAUUUCGCUCUUUCCUUAGCUAACACUGCUGCAUUUACAUUUGGUUGAUAGAUUGUGUAAGAACAUAACUGAUGAGGUGAAAUUGAACUCUCUGUUUAUUAAAUGCACUAAUCUGCAAUGCACUAAAGUUGACAGUGAAUUAUUGUCAAAAUUAAGCAGUCAAGCAGUGAGCUGCUGAAAGUUAAGUUGUUUGUUUGGACUCUUGGAAGGGAAAAAGUUUGUCGACUUCCAGAUUUAUGUCAGUUGGUAUAUCAAGACAGCUUAUGUUUUGUUGCCAAGAAAAUCUGGUCCAAGCAAAAUUUGGGUUUAGUGAUUGAUUUUAUGGCCCUAUGAGAGCUAUACUUUUUUGAUAUUGUCAGUGGUUUUAAGCUGAAAUUAUGGAUGACAAUGUUGACUUGUCAUCUUAUGUUUGUUUCCUCUUGCCCAUAUCUUCUUCUGCUAAGAUAUACUAUGUUAUAUUGCAUGAAGACGUUAAAAUUGGCAUAUUAGUAUGUAACCACAUUAACUUGGUGCAGAAAAGGACAUUCACAAAGCCUACCUAUGCGAUAUAUUGACAAGACUAUAAAUUGACAGGUUUAUUGCUGUCGGUGAUGAAGCAUUCCUCCUCAGUUAUGGUCAAACAUUCCAGCCCCAUGUAGUUGGUGCAGCAACAAACAUUCAGCGAGCCCUGACUGCUGCAAAUUUAGCAAACACGGUAAAAGUCAUUGUUCCUUGCAGUUCUGAUGUAUACCAAUCUGAGUCUAACCUACCUUCGAAGGGUCACUUUAGGCCUGAUCUCAACAAGACUAUGAUUGAGCUCCUCUCUUUUCUUGACAAGCAUGGUUCACCCUUUGUGGUUGACAUCAAUCCUUUCUUGACCUUUCAACAAAAGAAGAACCUUUCCCUGGAUUUUGUUCUCUUCCAGACAAAUUCUCAUGCAUUAUCUGAUGGAACGAACAAGUAUAGAAACCACUUUGAUAGUUUCAGCUUUGUCAAAGGUUGGGCAUGCUGAAAUGGAUAUAAUUGUCGGGAAGAUAGGAUGGCCUACAGAUGGUGCAAUGAAUGCCACACCUGCUGUUGCCCAGAUCUUCAUGCAAGGCCUCGUUGACCACCUGCAGAGCAAAGCUGGUACUCCACUUAGACCAAAGAGAACAACAAGAGAGACAUAUAUCUUCAGUCUACUAGAUGAAGAUCAACGGAGCAUUAAGACUGGGAAUUAUGAAAGACACUGGGGCAUUUUCACAUUUGAUGGCCAGGCAAAAUACAAUGUGGACCUUGGCCAAGGCUCAAAAGCUCUGGCAAGUGCUCAUGUUGUGGACUACCUGGCGCAAAAGUGGUGUGUGGUGAAUAACAAGAAGGACAUAUCAAAUGUUUCUGGCAGUGCAUCGGAAGCCUGUUCCGCUGCUGAUUGCUCUGCUUUGUCUCCUGGUGGCUCUUGCUCAGGGAUCGGCUGGCCCGGAAAUGUGUCAUAUGCUUUCAACAACUAUUUCCAGCUUCAUGAUCAGAGCGCGGAUAGUUGUGAUUUUGGUGGCCUGGGAUUGAUAACAACUGUGGACCCAUCAGUAGGUGAUUGCCGGUACACUAUUGCACUCGGCACAUCAUUUUCUACGUCUAUUCAUCAAACUUUGGUUGCACGGUGGAGCAUGAUGAUUCAAGGUGGCACCUUUUUUGCUUUCUUGCUCUUAUUUGUUUGGUGUGUUGAUCUGCUUACUUUGAGGUAGUUUUGUAUAAGACACUAGAAUUUUGUACUAAAACUUCCAGAGGAUGUCUAAGCACUUCAUGAGUUCAAUCCUUUUAGCCUGAAUCAUUCUGAACUUGUUCUACGAGAAGUGAAUGAUGCUAAGAUUUUGGCACUUACAUUAUUUGUGAUGCCAAGAAUUUAGCACUGCAUGGUUUGUGGUUGGAUUGGUUCUGCUUGCUUCUUCUCUUGCAAUAGAAAAUAAUAUCCUGCAUAUUGGUGUUACAUACUUGAAACACUUACUUCUGCAUGAAAACUACUUGCUCUUGCUGAUCAACUUACCUGCUCUCGCUGCACCAAUUAGGAACAGGAAAUGAUGAGGACCAGUUGUGGACAAACACUGCAUUAGGUAUGCACUGCAAUAAUAGUUCCUUGUUGACAUCAUAUAAAACUAAGACUCAGCUCUGCACUGCUUCAAGCCUUCCAUGUCAACUUAGCAUCCCAUCAACAAUGGCCACGGACGGCAGGUAGCUUAAUGUAAUGUGACUGUGUAUUUGACCGUAUGUAGAGUAUGUUCACCACAUGAUAACAUGCUCGAGGACAAGCGUGUACACUGUAGCCUAGUUUUAUAUGUUAUCAUUACCAAUAGAAACAUCCUUUCCUAUCUUUUUGAUUACUAUAAUCUAUGAUUGUUAAAGGUUUUAACUUAGGGUUCGAUCAUAAAUAGGCAGUCCCAUCUCCAUAUAGUUUCAGCUCAUCUGAACCUGAGAGGCAACCUUGCACUGUACCAAGUGUAUUCAUCUGCAACCAUACACCUUCGUUCUUGCUUUGGUGGCCUAAGCAAUGGGUAGCCACUCGCCUUGCGCUUCCUGCAAGCUUCUACGGAGGCGCUGCACGCCGGACUGCGUCUUCGCGCCCUUCUUCCCCUCCGAUGAACCCCACAAGUUCGCAAUGGUCCACAGGGUCUUUGGUGCAAGCAACGUUAGCAAAAUGCUACAGGUUUCUUCUUCUUCUUUGUUCUUCUAUUUUGUCUACCGAUAGUUUACGUUGGUUGACUACAGGAGCUUCCUCUUCAUCAAAGAGCGGAUGCAGUGAGCAGCUUGGUCUACGAAGCAAACGCAAGGAUGAGGGAUCCAGUUUAUGGUUGCGUCGGAGCCAUCUCUUACCUCCAGCAUCAAGUGUCUCAGCUCCAGAUGCAGCUGGCCUUGGCUCAAGCUGAGAUGCUUUGCAUUCAGAUCCAGCAGGCGCAGCUGAUGGAUGCUGAUGGCAUGCAGUAUCUCAUGCAGAGUGACCUCAGCGCCAUGGCCCAGUUGACGAACUAUCCAUCCUCCUCAAGCAAUGUACCCCAUGAGCCUCUCAAGAGAGAGAAUCCAUGGACAUAGAAGCCAUGUUCCUGUUCCCAAGCGUUUGCUUGGAACGGAGCUUCUUUGUGGAUUCAGUGCUUCAUCCAUGUACAUGUCCCUAUCAUUGUUAUGUUUAGGUGAAGACACAAACUGGAAGAUUCCUUUUGUUCUCCCUAAGACAAUUCCUUUUGUCAUCUAGCUGGCUGUUAUAUAUACAUUGUUGUUGCUGUAAGAACAUGAAGUCAUCCAAAAGCUUGAUUAACAUACCUUUCAAACUCCUGCAGACAAAACAAAAUGACACUUUGUUGGCCAUUUCCAAUCUACAUAUAAAUCACAGAUCAAGCUUUGACUCUUCGAUCAUCCUUUUCCUGUCCAACAGAAGGAAAACAAGUACAACUUUUGUAGCUUAACUCUGCAUCUCAAUGAUGAUUCUUUUCCUGGUGUUACUUGCUGUUUGCUAUGUGGGUUGGUGAAGUGUUCUUGGUGUUAGAGGAGUACAGAAUGUGCUCACAUGCAGUGUAGUUCUUUGCAUUAAGCUAUGUUGAUGGACCAGCCAACAAGAAGUUUUUUUGUCUCUAGCUUGGGAUUUAGUAGUGGAUGAGACUGCACUAAAAACAAAGGCAAUAAUUACACGAACUGAACUAAGCGAUAAGAGAAAGAGAAAGAGUCAACAGUGUCAUGAACUAGAUUUUAGUAUGUUGGAUUAGUACAUGACAAGAGAAAGAGUCUCAACCAUCUACGAUUAUAAUCCAUAUCAAGUUUGAUCUCCUGCAAGAUAAGACACUCCCACAUGCUAACCUCCAAAGGAUUGUUAGACUAAACUUUAUAAGGAUCGUAAUCCUGGACUUGUUCUCUUGGCAUGUCCUAAUCCUUGAUGAGGAUUACAAGAGAGAAAGUGGAAGAGUGAUUACAAGCAAGAAGUAAUUGAAAUCUUAACACGAAUAAGAAAGAAGUCAGACGUGACUAAAAGAAAGAAUCGAAUGCUCACUAGAGAGUUGACGGAACUCGGGCACUUGCUUCGAGAUCUGUCUACAAGAAUAAUAAGAUUGGAUGAGCUUUUAAUGUACAUGGUCAUUAAAUGAUUUUAGUAAACAAUAAUUGAUCUUGUUGAUUUAUAAUCGUAAAACAUAAUAAGUACUUCUGUUUGGAUAUUGAUAACAUUCAUUAAAAAUUACAAUGGAGGUGGAUAUUCUCCGGAUCGAAUACAUGGGGAAAUACACACGCUAAACAAGAUGAUUAUUAUCGUUUCAUCGAGAAACAUAAGCUCGUAAAUGAAACGACACGUUCUAAGCUUCUUGCUUGUUUCAAUAAGUGAAAGAAUGGACGCUGUAGAUGUGAAAGCAAUGGAGAUUCUCGUCGUCCUCCGAUUACGUUGAUCUCAGCUGUGACGCUCCCGGCAGGCUUUAGAUUGACUCACCACUAAGAGAUCGGAGCGACACGACACCAAACCGUUGUAAUUAAUUUUCGAGAUUCUCUCAAAAUUAAGAAAAUUUUGAAAUAAGUGAAAUGUGAGUUACAAUAUUUUUUAAUAGAGUUGCAUUGUUUUUGGAUAAAACCUAAAACGUGUAACCUCGUUAAAAAAUAGUAUAACUCGAGUCUUCAAGAAAAUUCUUUUCAUAAAACUUCAAAAAGCCUUCUUUGAAUAUUAUCAAGUGGUUUUUGAUCCAAAAUGAUUGUAAAUUCACCUUAGAUCGGGUAAUUGUAAAAGAUUACCGUAACUAAGGUUUUCAAAAAAAUAUUUUUCUGAAAACUUUAGAAAAACCUUCUUUGAUAAUAUUUACAUAGUUUUUUUUUCUUCAAAAGUGGUUGUAAAUUCACCUUAAAUUAGGGGAAAAAAUUAUAAAACAUAAAUAUAAUCAAUGAUAAAAUCCAUUAACAUAUUUUAUUUUAAAAUAGAAUAGUUAAAAAAGUCAUUUAUGCAUUUAUAAGUCAUUUUCCAAUUUUUUUCUUAAAAUUUAAGAUUUUUUUAUUAUUAGUUAUUUAAAAUAUAUUAAAAAUAUUAUUAUAUUACGUUUUAAUUUAUAUAAAUAAUUUAAAUUUUAAAAUUUUUUAUACUUAAUAUGUAUGAUUGUGUCCGAUGCCAACUCAUUUGCCAUCGAGGUCGACACCUAAGUAAGGCUCCAGGUCACCAACCUCAAAAUUGUACCAUGGUGUGUUCGAAUGUGCCCCACAUAAUGAUUGAGAAUAAUUUUUCUAUCUUACAUUGUUGUCUUCUCCCUUUCGUUGACUUAAUCAUAUAGUUUACAUUGUUGUCUUCUCCCCUUCGUUGACUUAAGCAUCGAAAAGGUCACGUUGAGCAUCUGGAUGAGCCAACCCCCAGGGAGGAACCUUGCAACUAGAAAUAUCUCAGUUUGUCUACCUGGUCAUCUCGAACCGGGUUCUCACCAAGAGAACGACAUCUAAUCGGAUGAUUUAGGUCACUUUUGUUGGACUAAAAAAAUAGGAGCCCUAUCCGAGGAAAAAAGAUCAACAAAAAAAAUAAACAAGAGCUUUUCCUAAAGAAAUUAUCCUAUAUAAUUAUAAUCAUGAUGCAUGUAUCAAGAAUCCAUAAUAAUAAUAAUAAUAAUAAUAAUAAUAAUAAUAAUAAUAAUAAAAGUCAUCUUUUCUGCACCAGUGAUCGCCUGUUGUUUGGUUCAUUCUCCCAUCGACAAGCUUUGGUGUUGGAUGCCGAUAGGAGGGAAUGGCAUCGGAGGCCGAAAGCUACGGCGACCCAAAAGAGUUUCCAUAAAUAUCACAGAUGAAUCAUGUUGGUUUGGCCCAGUGUGUUAGAUUCCUUAUUUUGUUCUCGGAGGUUCAUUAGGUGCAUGAACGUAGGCUAACCCUCCUCCUUAGGUUGAUCUCACAGAGAAGAGACUACAAGAAUAGACGACGAAAAAGUCUCUCAAACUCUUAAUGUGGUUGGUUCUAAAGUCCCUGCAAACUCUCUCAACCAAAACAAGCCUUGUUUAAUGCUUACUUAACCACAAGCUUUAUUUACUCGGAGCCUCAUCACGUCACCUCUCUCUCUCUCUCCAACUUUCUUUCCGGCUACAAUUCAGGCGCAUCGUGAAAACUUAGAAUUGGUUUCCAUCAAGACUCGUGGUGGUAUCAGCCACUUCGUGAAGAAGGUAUCAGCUCUCCAUUACAUGCCGAUAGAGGAGACCGGGCGGCUAAAGUUCAACCGAGGAAAUGAGAUUGACCCAUUCACUCCCAAGUUCAAGGGAGACUUUUGCUACGACUAAUGUAUUGGAGCUUGAGCGUAAUGUGAUGCGCCUGAAUUGUAACCCUAAAGUAAGUUGAAGCCAUGGCCCUUCGUGAGGAAAUAUACAGGCCGGAAAAGAGACAGAGGUCGCGCGAUGAGGCUCCGAGUAUAUAAAGCUUGUGGUUACGAAGCAUUAAAUAAGGCUUGUUUUGGUCGAGAGACUUUGCAGGGACUUACGAACCACGUUGAGGGUUGAGAUGCUCUUUCGUUUGUUCUUGUAGUAUCUUCUCCGCGAGGUUCUCAGAUGGCUGAGGAGAGGGUCGGCCUUGCUUCAUGUGCGUGCCCUUCGUUCAUGGUUUUUAUAACACCAAUCCGAUACCAGGAGAACAACAUCGAGGGUACACCUUUGGCUCCUCCUUCGCCACCCCACGUCCGCUACGGUACAUCCGAGCAACAAGGACGAUGGCUCUCUUUGCGUUGCCGCAAAGAGACUCCUGUCUUAUCUAUCAAAAAUUACGUCGAACAUUCUCUUCGCGUUGCCGCUCCCUUUUGUGGGCAAGCUGCUCCCAGAUCCGAAGAGCUUCGAGGACGUCGCCCGCUUCGCCGCCGACAGGAUCCGGAGGAGGAGAGUUGCCGAGCCCCCCGCUUCGGCCUCUCGCGUGGAAUAAGGAGACCACGACGACAUCCG
rnacentral:lncRNA from 1 species